UACAGAGGUCCCAAGCGUUGUUCGGAUUCACUGGGCGUAAAGGGUGCGUAGGUGGCCAGGUAAGUUUGGUGUGAAAGCUCGGAGCUUAACUCCGAAAAGUCAUUGAAUACUAUCUGGCUGGAGGGUCGGAGGGGAGACUGGAAUUCUCGGUGUAGCAGUGAAAUGCGUAGAUAUCGUGAGGAACACUAGUGGCGAAGGCGAAUCUCUGGACAGUUCCUGACGCUGAGGCACGAAGGCCAGGGGAGCAAACGGG
rnacentral:rRNA from 1 species